CCUACGGGAGGCAGCAGUGGGGAAUAUUGGGCAAUGGAGGAAACUCUGACCCAGCGACGCCGCGUGCGGGAUGAAGGCCUUCGGGUUGUAAACCGCUUUCAGUAGGGAAGAAGCGAAAGUGACGGUACCUACAAAAGAAGCACCGGCUAACUAUGUGCCAGCAGCCGCGGUAAUACAUAGGGUGCAAGCGUUGUCCGGAAUUAUUGGGCGUAAAGAGCUCGUAGGUCGUUUGUUACGUCGGAUGUGAAAACCUGAGGCUCAACCUCAGGCCUGCAUUCGAUACGGGCAAACUAGAGUUUGGUAGGGGAGACUGGAAUUCCUGGUGUAGCGGUGGAAUGCGCAGAUAUCAGGAGGAACACCAAUGGCGAAAGGCAGGUCUCUGGGCCAAAUACUGACACUGAGGAGCGAAAGUCUGGGGAGCGAACAGGAUUAGAUACCCUGGUAGUCCAGACCGUAAACGGUGGGCACUAGUUGUGGGAACCUUCCACGGUUUCUGCGACGCAGCUAACGCAUUAAGUGCCCCGCCUGGGGNGAGANCGCANAUAAACUAACAAGAAGUAGAGCGNGAGAGNGCGACGACGACGACGAGGAGAG
rnacentral:rRNA from 1 species